AUUGAACGCUGGCGGCAUGCUUUACACAUGCAAGUCGAACGGUAACAGGCCUUCGGGUGCUGACGAGUGGCGAACGGGUGAGUAAUGCAUCGGAACGUACCCAGAGGUGGGGGAUAACGCAGCGAAAGCUGUGCUAAUACCGCAUGUGAUCUGAGGAUGAAAGCGGGGGACCGAGCAGCAAUGUUUGGCCUCGCGCCUUUGGAGCGGCCGAUGUCGGAUUAGCUAGUUGGUGGGGUAAAGGCCUACCAAGGCGACGAUCCGUAGCUGGUCUGAGAGGACGACCAGCCACACUGGGACUGAGACACGGCCCAGACUCCUACGGGAGGCAGCAGUGGGGAAUUUUGGACAAAGGGCGCAAGCCUGAUCCAGCAAUGCCGCGUGCGGGAAGAAGGCCUUCGGGUCGUAAACCGCUUUUGGCAGGAACGAAACGGUGUCCGCUAAUACCGGGCGCUAAUGACGGUACCUGCAGAAUAAGCACCGGCUAACUACGUG
rnacentral:rRNA from 1 species